rnacentral:rRNA from 1 species
GACGAACGCUGGCGGCGUGCCUAAUACAUGCAAGUUGAGCGCUGAAGGUUGGUACUUGUACCAACUGGAUGAGCAGCGAACGGGUGAGUAACGCGUGGGUAAUCUGCCUUUGAGCGGGGGACAACAUCUGGAAACGAAUGCUAAUACCGCAUAAAAACUUGAAACACAAGUUUUAAGAUUGAAAGAUGCAAUUGCAUCACUCAAAGAUGAUCCCGCGUUGUAUUAGCUAGUUGGUGAGGUAAAGGCUCACCAAGGCGAUGAUACAUAGCCGAACUGAGAGGGGGGUCGGCCACAUUGGGACUGAGACACGGCCCAAACCCCUUCGGGAGGCAGCAGUAGGGAAUCUUCGGCAAUGGACGAAAGUCUGACCGGGCAACGCCGCGUGAAUGAAGAAGGGUUUCGGAUCGGAAAACUCUGUUGAUAGGGAAGAACGUUGGUGAGAGUGAAAAGCGCAUCAAGUGACGGUAACUACCCAGAAAGGGACGGCUAACUACGUG